rnacentral:rRNA from 1 species
CCUACGGGAGGCAGCAGUAGGGAAUAUUGCACAAUGGGGGAAACCCUGAUGCAGCAACGCCGCGUGGGGGAAGAAGGUUUUCGGAAUGUAAAGCCCUUUCAGUAGGGAAGAUAAUGACGGUAUCUAACGAAUAAGCACCGGCUAACUCCGUGCCAGCAGCCGCGGUAAUACGUAGGGUGCAAGCGUUAUCCGGAUUUACUGGGUGUAAAGAGCGCGCAGACGGGUGAGCAAGUCAGGUGUGAAAGGCGAGGGCUCAACCAUCGAACUGCAUUUGAAACUGUUAUGCUGGAGUGUAGGAGAGGUAGGCGGAAUUCUUGGUGUAGCGGUGAAAUGCGUAGAGAUUAAGAGGAAUACUCAUGGCGAAGGCGACUUGCUGGAACGCAACUGACGCUGAGGCGCGAAAGCGUGGGGAGCAAACAGGAUUAGAUACCCGGGUAGUC